GUCAUCCAAUGACAUCAUCCAUCAUCCUGCAGGAAGUGAAAUCAUUCUGGAGGGGAAUCGACAUCGAUCAUCGAUCGAUCAGCUGGAGAUCAGGAUCCAGAAGGACGUGGAGAUCUGCGGCGCACGGAGCAGGUAUUCGGCCCUCGGCGCGCCAGUGGAAAAACUGAGCUGUUGGAUGUGAAUCUCAGAGAUAGUGGCUGCAGUCAGACGACAGUGAGGUAAUGACAGAGAGCAGAAAAACAUCUGUCCGCAGAGAGCUGUGGAGAAUACCUGAUUCUAAAUUGGUCGAGCGUGACAAUCGGUCGUUCUGAAUAACGUCACCGGAUAACCAAUUGCUUCACCUGAUAGAUGAUUAAAAACAACCCUAGGUUAGGUGUAGAAACUAUAAAAAUAGAAACUAUUUUCACUCAGAAAUGACCAGUAAUUGGAGCAAUUCAUUUAAAAAUAACACAUAAUGCAGACUAAACUUAAAUGUAGAAUUAUUAUUAUUUAUUUCCUCCAUCUUGCAAAUGCUGAUACGCCCUUUGAAAAAUGCAGAUCUAGUUUCCAUAACUACAGUCUGUACACUGUAAAAACAUUCUGUAACAUUUACAGUAAAAAACUGGCAGCUGUGGUUGCCAGAAUUUUACCAUGAAAAAUAUGUUGGCAGUAUAUUAGGUUUUUUCGAUUUAACUUAAAUUACAUUUAAAUACCGUAAUUUCAUUAACAGAUAUAAUAUACAGUUCCAAUCUAUGGAAAUACUGAAAUCUGUUUUAUAUCCUUUUAAUACACUGAUAACCACAUAAAGCAGAUGGUGAUGAGAAAGUCACAUGAUCAUCACAAGCAGCUUUUACAUACUAACAUAAUGCAUAUGGAACGUGCACAGUGUCAUUCACACAAACACUAAAACCAUCAUGGUAACACACAUGAAAUUAAAAUAAUGCAAUAAACAUUAUUUAACAAGAUUAGAUGUAACAUACAACCCUAAUAUAUACAACUGAUACGACAAAACUAAGAAGAAACAGUUAUUUCAACUCAAAAAAACAUGAAAUGUAACACAGAGAAUUCUGAAUAAGUUUUAAAUUAUAUGUGACCCUGGAGCGCAAAACCAGUGUUAAGUAUCACUGGUAUAUUUGUAGAAAUAGUCAACAAUACAUUGUAUGAGUCAAAAUUAUUGAUUUUUUUUUAUGCCAAAAAUCAUUGGGAUAUUAAGUAAAGAUCAUGUUCCAUAAAGAUGUUUUGUAAAAUUCCUACUGUAAAUAUAUCAAAACUUAAUUUUUUAUUAGUAAUAUGCAUUGUUAAAAAUGCACCCUCAGAUUCCAUAUAUUGAAAUAGUUGUAUCUCGACCAAAUAUUGUCCUAUCAUAACAAACCACACAUCAAUGAAAAGCUUAUUUAUUCAGCUUUUAGAUGAUGUGUAAAUGUCUAUUUUGAAAAAUGGACCCUUAUGACUGGUUUUGUGGUCCAUGGUCACAUAUGUUCUUUUUCA